UACGAAGGGUGCAAGCGUUACUCGGAAUUACUGGGCGUAAAGCGUGCGUAGGUGGUUUGUUAAGUCUGUUGUGAAAGCCCCGGGCUCAACCUGGGAAUGGCAAUGGAUACUGGCAAGCUAGAGUGCGGUAGAGGGUAGUGGAAUUCCCGGUGUAGCGGUGAAAUGCGUAGAGAUCGGGAGGAACACCGGUGGCGAAGGCGGCAUCCUGGACCGGUAUUGACGCUGAGGCGCGAAAGCCAGGGGAGCAAACGGG
rnacentral:rRNA from 1 species